GAUGGUUCUCGGGUGAUGCACCCUGGAAUCAGGCUUCUUCUUCUCUGGUUCUGGGCACGUCAUCAAGAACUGCA
rfam:Myotis lucifugus cont2.35817, whole genome shotgun sequence.